GAUGAUGAUGAGGUUGUAGAUAGCUCACAGCAAGCAAGCGGAGAAACCGGUUUUCCCGACAGCCAGGAACUGUUUCUCACCCUGGACCUGGAGCCAGUACCCCCCCGAACCCACCCAAGGCUGCCUCCUGGACCCAGCAGGCGGAGAAGGGACCUCUGCUGCAUGUGUUUCAAUGAUCACAGGAUCUUCUCCUUCCCAGAGGCUGGUGAAGCUUAGAAAGAAAAAAAAACGCACUCGCGAUGAAAUGUUCUCCGAGCUCAUGCUGUCCUCCCACACUGACAGAGCACAGACGAAUGCAUGGAGGCAAAUAAGAGAGGAGGCAGGAUUCAAUGCUGAGGCUGCUGGAGGACCAAACCAGUAUGCUCCAGUGUAUGGUUGAGCUGCAGCAAAGGCAGCUGGAGCACAGACUGCCACUGCAGCCCCUCUGUAAUCAACCGCCCUCCUCCCCAAGUUCCAUAGCCUCCACACCCAGAUGCCCAAGAAUGCGGUGGGGUGGCCUCCGGCCAACCAGCCACCCCACCACAGAGGAUUGCCCAAAAAAAAAGAAGGCUGGCAUUCAAUAAAUUUUCAAGUUGUAAACUUUUAAAGUGCUGUGCUUAAAGUGCUGUGUGGCAUUUUCCUUCCCUCCUCCACCACCCCUCCUGGGCUACCUUGGUAGUCAUCCCCCUAUUUGUGUGAUGAAUGAAUAAAGAAUGCAUGAAUGUGAA